rnacentral:rRNA from 1 species
UAGGGAAUCUUCGGCAAUGGACGAAAGUCUGACCGAGCAACGCCGCGUGAGUGAAGAAGGUUUUCGGAUCGUAAAACUCUGUUGUUAGAGAAGAACAAGGACGUUAGUAACUGAACGUCCCCUGACGGUAUCUAACCAGAAAGCCACGGCUAACUACGUGCCAGCAGCCGCGGUAAUACGUAGGUGGCAAGCGUUGUCCGGAUUUAUUGGGCGUAAAGCGAGCGCAGGCGGUUUCUUAAGUCUGAUGUGAAAGCCCCCGGCUCAACCGGGGAGGGUCAUUGGAAACUGGGAGACUUGAGUGCAGAAGAGGAGAGUGGAAUUCCAUGUGUAGCGGUGAAAUGCGUAGAUAUAUGGAGGAACACCAGUGGCGAAGGCCGCUCUCUGGUCUGUAACUGACGCUGAGGCUCGAAAGCGUGGGGAGCAAACAGG